rnacentral:lncRNA from 1 species
UAUUGAUGCAUGUCUCUGAUCCAUGAUGCAAUCAAGAACCUUAGGAUCAAUUACGAAAGACUAUUUAGCACAUGUACUAAUUUAACUAAUGAAUCCUAGCAAACAAAAUAGCUACGGAGAUUAACUGAAAUAUGUUUUGGGAUGUAAUCAAAACUUGAAAUAUUCAGGCUAAGACAUCAAGGUAAGGGUGAAGAAAAUUUCAGGAAGCUCAGUCAAUGCAACAUAACAUGGUUCGAAAGUUGAACAUAAUCCUAAAACUACUACUGAUUUUAGCUCAUCUUACUCAAAUUAGCCUCUUCUUGUUUAUAAAUGAAACUAAACAUGUACAAAACUACAGUUUAUAAUCAGCACAGAGAAGAUUUCCAGCAAAACAGAUUACUGUUAAGAGGUUUGGGAAGAUCAAUUUGAAGUCAGCACACCCAUCGACAGUUGUAUUGAAUCCUCAACAAAAUACCAUGGCUAACAAUGAAAGCCAUUCUAGGUCGACUAUACAUUUCCAGUACGAUAGUCUACUGAACUAUUAACUAACCUCCUGAACUUUAUGGCUCAAGAAGGGUGCAGUAAAAGGAGCAUAUAAGAACUAGAUGAAUCAUUAACUCAACAGCUCCAUCACAGUUCGUACACAACAAACAUGGAUUAAGGUAAACAUUAGGGAAUGCCAAAGUCUGGGCUUAACGUCCUCUUAAUUUCAAAUGUCAAAUAGAAACAAGAAUCAGAAUUGCACCUUUGACAUGAGAGCAGUCCAGGAACAUACACCAACAAUUCAGAAUUGCACCACACUGUUAACAUGGGCAUAAACUAUAUUCCAUCAGUUCAAACCUUGAACUUUCAUGAAUAACCACAAGACAUUUCUUUUGUUUGCUCAGAGGAAAAAACAAUAUGAACUGGGUUUUUAAGCUGGACCUCAAGUGCAGCUAAACACACUAGCAUACCAGAGAAAAACUGACCCAGAUCCUAGACUUUCUAGUACAUGGAGUAGGAAUGAAAUUUAAGAGAAAAAAACACAUGAGUCUAGCAAUAGCACUCUCUUUGACAGCUAAAAUUUAGACCAACUACAGCUUUAAAACAAGCAUUGAAUUGCUUAUCUCCCAACAUUCAUAGUAGAUCUUGAUAAACACCUCUCACUAAAUGACAUAACAAAAUAAACAAUCGUUUACUGAUUUCACAAGCUUAUAUUGAAGCUAAACAUGAACAACAAAUCCUACAUUAAUCUAGGCACAACAAAUUACAACUCAAAUUUGCAGGGAAAGAGCUGACUGUGUUCAACAAUGUAGCAACUCAAGCAGACAUCCUACCUCAAACAGGCUGUCACAUUUCCAUAAAAGAACCAUUCAAAUAGACAAUUAAACUCAGAAAAUUAAGUCGAGAUCUUGACAUAAAUGAAAACUCGACAUGAUGAUAGCAAUUCAAGCAUAAGCAUAGAGGACGACCCUUUAAACUCAGCUUUUACUGACUGAACAUACUCAACUACAUCAUACCACUGCGAAGAGGUUCACCAGCAAGAAAUUCGAUCAUAACACAAAAUAGACCACUAUAAACUAAAUCUCAUAGCUCAAAAGCACCAGAACAAAACAGAGUCACAUAGAAUAAAAGAGAGGAAAAUUGAACCUUAAUUUGCAAAUCUCUUCUUUAACAAUUAUAAACUCGACAAGAUAACAGUAGAAAACCAAGCUCGAACUUCAAUUUGUGUCUCCUUGGCACUCACAUCCGGAUUCAAAAAUAAAAAUUAUAUAUAUGUUUCUCUUAAGCUUUGAAAGAACUCUUCAAGAAAAGAAAUGGAAUCAGAAAACUAGAAAAAAUCGAAGCCUUUCAACUUUUCUCUAAAUUUUUGUUCUUCCUUCUCAAAAUCGAAAUUGGCCCUAUUUGAAAAUGAAUCCCUUGAAGAACGUAGGGCCCAUAUUGAAUGAACUCAAUCCAACGCCUCACACUCAUCCAGCGAUUCUGCUCCAGAACCUUCUAAUUUGUGGGAUAUAUCCAAUUCGCGCGGUGAGAGAGGAGAGGAAUCUCGCGUCAGAAACCGUUAGAACUGUGAACUUGGACUAGGUUGGGUCUUGGUUCGAAUGGUGUUUGGAGAAGAGCAGUAGGGCUGCGUCGUUUGAGCUCGGGAGAUUAGGGUUCUUGGGCAUUUUGUGUUGUAAUUUGGGGAGGGUCGGUUAGCGAGCAGGUCGGGGC